rnacentral:rRNA from 1 species
UACGGAGGGGGCAAACGUUGUUCGGAUUUACUGGGCGUAAAGGGUGCGUAGGCGGUUCGGUCAGUCUGGUGUGAAAAUCCGCCGCUUAACGGCGGAAACGCAUCGGAAACUGCCGAGCUCGAGUAUGGAAGAGGCAGGUGGAAUUCCUGGUGUAGCGGUGGAAUGCGUAGAGAUCAGGAAGAACACUCGUGGCGAAGGCGGCCUGCUGGUCCAUCACUGACGCUGAUGCACGAAAGCCAGGGGAG